AAUUAACGCUGGCGGCAGGCCUAACACAUGCAAGUCGCACGAGAAAGCCCCUUUCGGGGGGCAAGUAAAGUGGCGCACGGGUGAGUAACGCGUGGAUAAUCUACCUCGUUCUGGGGGAUAACCCAUCGAAAGGUGGGCUAAUACCGCAUAAUCCGGCUGGAUCUUGGUUUGGUCGGCAAAGGUGGCCUCUUCAUGAAAGCUACCGGGAAGAGAUGAGUCCGCGUCCCAUUAGCUUGUUGGUAGGGUAACGGCCUACCAAGGCGACGAUGGGUAGCUGGUCUGAGAGGACGAUCAGCCACACUGGAACUGGUACACGGUCCAGACUCCUACGGGAGGCAGCAGUGAGGAAUAUUGCGCAAUGGGGGAAACCCUGACGCAGCGAUGCCGCGUGAGUGAAGAAGGCCUUCGGGUCGUAAAGCUCUGUCAAGUGGGAAGAAUAGCCUGUGGACGAAUAAUCCAUGGGUAUGACGGUACCACUGAAGGAAGCACCGGCUAACUCCGUGCCAGCCGCCGCUGUAACAC
rnacentral:rRNA from 1 species